ACGAGAACACGCCAGUUAUGUACAAGUGACAAGAUUAUCCUGGCUUUCGCUAGCUACUUUCUUUUAUUGUUUUGUAGAAUCUAAAGUGGUAAAAUGUAAUGUGAACAAGUGUUAUUACUAAAAAGAAGCUUUCAUCUCACAACCGAAGUCCCGAGUCAUUACUUUGAAGAGAGAACUUCAAAAUGAGAUCCUGCCAUGGAAAAGACGAUGGACAUGAAGUGGAAAGGAGGGGAAAUAACUCACACCAUGCAGCAGGACACCUUCAGCUGUGGGGUUUUUGUAAUGCAGGUUUGAUAGUUAUAUUUUCAAUAAUGAUUGGUUAGCUGUUAUGUGACAAUAUUUUAUUUUUUGGUGUAGAUGGCCAAGGAAGUUGCACAGAACUUCCCCAACAUCCCCUCCCAAAUUGAUAUGGAACCUUCAAAAACACAUGGAGCAAGUGCGAAAAUAAAUGGCUGAGGAUAUACUAAAAAUGUCUGGUUUGUAAUGACAUUUAAUUCAAAGUAAAUGUAAAUUCUUUAUUGUUAUGUAGUUGUGUCGGACAGCCAUAUGUUCAGUUCAUGCCUAUGAACAUGCCUAUGAUGAGUUCAACAAAGCCAACAACUGCUUCAUGUGUGCCACUGAUAAAGAACCUGGAUGUGGCCCAAAGACUGCCUGGAUUGGCAUGCAAAACAUUCAAAGGUGGUUCCAUGUGCUGUAACUAGGAAUGAAGACAAAAUAGUUCAACAGAGCAAACAACACAAACUGGAAGUGCUGUCUUUGUUGUUGAAAAUGUAUGCUAUACCCCAUCCACACUGAAGAGGCUCUGACAUGUACAUCAACCAGAGAUAAAGAGAAAGCUAACACUGUGAAAUGUUUCAUACUUAUUUUAAAUUGUAUGUUGACACGUUGGAAAAGAUUAAAGGUCUACAAUUUCUUUUUAA